rnacentral:lncRNA from 1 species
GUGGUUAUGGUAACAUUGAUGAUGGUGAUUAUGGCAGUCAUCUAGGUAAUAAUGGUGGUGAUUGCAUACUGGUGAUUUUGUUGAUGGCAGCAAUGGUGAUAAUAAGAUUGGUAAUGGUGUUGGUAGCAGUGAUUAUCGCGAUGCAGUGACAUUGAGGUUGUAGGGGGUGGGGGAUCAUUCCAAAGGGCAUGGAGUGGGGUUUUGUCACUGACAAUGAAGGUGCAGGGCAAUAGGAGCAGAGGAGG